GUCGGAAGAGGUCAAAGGCAUGGAUGCACUUCACAGUUCAGAAAGAUGAUCCUGAUCAUGCUAAUUGCAACUACUGUGAUGCUGUACUGGGUUGCAAAUCCGCAUCGACAGGUACUGCUUCUUUAGUCAACCAUUUGAAGAUUUGCAAAAAGAAUCCUGCCCACAUAUGUAGCACUCAGUCCGAGCUUACCUACCAAGUUAGCGAAGAUGGUAAUUUGGUGGUUCCUUGGCAAUACAUUGAGAAAGAAGUUAGAGAAGCAUUUGCUCGCAUGAUAGUGAUAGAUGAGCUUCCAUUCAUAUUUGCAGAGAAAGAAGGUUUUAGGUUGUUUGUGGCUAAAGCUUGCCCAAGGUUCACUAUACCAUCUAGGACAACUAUGUAUAGAGAUAUCAUUGCUCUUUAUGAAGCUGAGAAAGCUAUGAUUAGAAAAUAUUUCAUUGGAUCACGUCAAACUGUUUGCCUCACCACUGAUACAUGGACAUCAAAAAGACAACAAAGCUACAUGGUCCUUACUGCACAUUUCAUUGAUUCUGGGUGGAAUCUUAGAAAAAAAAUUAUUAACUUUGUCUUGGUAGAUGGACACAAAGGGGAUGACAUUGGUAAAUCAUUAGAAAAAUUACUUAUUGAGUGGGGCAUUGAGCGAGUGUGCACUAUUACUGUUGAUAAUGCAAGUUCUAAUGACACUUGCUUAGCCUGCAUGAAGAGGUCUUUGACUAAUAGGGGUUGUACACAUGCAAAAAGUCAGUAUCUUCACAUGAGGUGUGUGGCACAUAUUGUUAAUCUAGUGGUCCAAGAUGGGCUAAAGAUAAUGUGCCAUCCAAUAAACAGAAUUCGAAGUGCUAUCAAGUUUGUGAGAGCCUCCCCAACUAGAUUGGAUUUAUUUAAAAAGUGUGUGCAGCUUAGCAAGGUAGCGAGUAAAGGUUUGAUUAAUAUUGAUGUGGCUACUAGAUGGAACUCCACAUUUAUAAUGCUAGAGACUGCUGAGAAAUUUGAGAGGGCAUUUGAGCAAUAUGCACUUCAGGAUCCCAACUACAAGACUGAGUUAGAAAAAACUGGUCCAGAACCUAAGCCUGAUACUCCUGAUCAGCGGGGUCCUCCAACUCAAAGUGAUUGGGUGUAUGUUCGUGAGUUCAAACAAUUCCUCCAACACUUCUAUCUCCUCACUAAUAAGGUUUCUGGCACUAAGUACGUUACAGCCAACACCUUCUUGGAAGAUAUUGCUGAUGUACAUUUUAUGUUGGGUCAAUGGAGUGAUCAUGUGAUUUGUGGUGAUGAUGAAAUAUUUAAAUGCAUGGCUACCAAGAUGAAAACCAAGUAUGAGAAGUACUGGGGUGAUCCUGAAAAGAUGAACAAGUAUAUAUUCAUUGCUGCCAUCCUUGAUCCAAGGUAUAUGGUUGAUUGGUUGUUGUUCAUUUGUCAAAUAUAUAUUCAUUGCUGCCAUCCUUCUAACUUGUCUUGUCUUGUCUUAAUUCUUUAUGCAAGGACCAAGGAAUCUCAUUUCUUUAAAGAGAUGAUUGAAGACACCUAUGGCAGUAUAAUAGGUAAUAGAAUCUUGACAUCUUCCCACAAUGAAUUUGUCUCUCUUUUUGGAGAAUAUAGAGAAUUAUAUGGAACCAGUACUCCUAGCCGUCCUAGGGAAUUAGCAUCACAAGCUCGUCCUAGUGCAAAUGCUUCUGAAAAUUCUCUAGUGAGGUCACGAUACAACCAGAAAAGAAUGAGAGUUUGCGGAGAGGGCAGCACUAGCACAAAUACUAGAACUGAAUUAGACAAGUACCUAGCUGAGGACACAGAAGAGUUGACUGCUGAAUUUGACCUUCUUGAAUGGUGGAAGUGCAAUGCUCCUUGCUUUCCCGUCCUUUCAAAAAUGGCUCGUGAUAUACUAGCAAUCCCCAUCUCUACGGUUGCUUCUGAAUCAGCUUUCAGCACUAGUGGUCGUAUUCUCGAUGACUUCAGAAGCUCUUUAACACCAGCAACACUGCAGUCGUUGAUAUGCACACAAGAUUGGUUGCGUUCUAAGUGUAUCAAUGUUGAAGCUGAUCUUGCUGAGUUGACCAGGCUGGAGGAAGGUAUUUAAAUGAAUGUGUAUUUCAAUUACUUCAAUGAUCAUGCAACAUUAAUGCUAUUUAAUUGAUCAUGCAAUAUUUCUGUUGUUUUUGUAGAAGUGGGUGCCAUUCAUUUAAAUGAUAAUGUGACAAUAUCGAUUGAUUGAUCUUCAUGCAUGGAGCUGGAGUGGAAAAUUGCUGCCUGAAGCCCUGAAGUGAUGAAACAAAUGCCAUUUUAUCUCGAUUUGCACCUUUUGUUUCUUUGUCAUGUGUUGCAAUGUACUGUACUGAAGUUUGUUAUCUCGAGCUGGAGCUGAACUUUGGUUGUUCCAGAAUUUGCACUUUGUACUGAAGUUUUUUUAUCUUGAUGUACUGGGCAUGUACUAGGGCCUUUCAAAAAUGGCUCGUGAUUUACUAUUUACUAGCAAUCCCCAUCUCUAUGUUCCAGAACUUUGCUUGUAUUGGGCAUGUUUAGUUCUGCUUGUGCUUGUACUGGACAAGUUUUUGUUCCAGAAUUUCUUCGUGUGGUUUCACUGGACAUGUACUAAAUUAGUGCUUGUAGUUGUAAUCGUAGUCUUCUACUAGAUUGUUGUGCUCGAACAUAAAUUCUUACAUGUUUCAGAAUUUCUUCAAGUAGGUAACCAGGUUGUAGUUGUAUUGGACAAGUACUAAAUUUGUUUUUCCAUGUGGCCAAACCAUGUGUUGAUUAAAAAUUCGUGUCAACUUUGGUUAUUUUGGUUAUUACCGAAACCAAACCGAAAGCAAAUGGUUAUUACCGAAACCGAACCGUAUCUAUGUAUAAAACCGUAUAAAUCGAAGUAUAAAAACCGUAUAAACCGAAAACCGUAUAAACCGAACCGAAUCAAACCGAAAAAACCGAAUGCACAGGCCGAGGGAGGAGGAAGGAAGAGAGAGGCACAUGGUGCACGAGCGUCACAAGUGACGUUGAUUGGGCUUCAGCCAUUUUUUUUUUGAGUUUCAAUCAAAGGAAUAUAUUGGGUUACUCUACUCUCUCCACUCUAUUCCUUGGGAAUUUUCCAAUGCUAGAAAUUCUUAGAACUAUCCUGCAAACGAAACAAUCUUUGCAAAUAUGCUGUUCACAAUUUUCUACAAAGCUUCGGUCAUUCUCUGGUUUGCGGCUUAUAAGGAAAAUUAUUGUUUUGCGUGAAUUAUGGUCUUUUUGCAGCUCUUGGGCAGUUUCUUACGAUUACAUGGGAGCGAAUCGAAAAUUGAAACUCAAGGGGUAUCUGGGAAUGCUGAUUAACAAAUGAUUACCAUCAAAUGUACGUGGACACGCUCGGAUUUGUUCAUAGGUGCCAAAAGCAAAAGCAUUUGAGCCUCCUUCUAUGCACAGUGUGCGAUGAUGGUAUCAUGCGAGGCGAGAACGGACUUGGCCGCACUUGGAUCCAACUCGUCGACUUUGAGUACAACAUCUUUUGCUCCUCGCAUGCUUCCUUGAUCUAAAACUUCCUUUCCUCAAGCUCAAACUUCUUCGUUUGGACUUCCAUGAACAAGCCAAAACUCUUCGUCUUCUUUUCAUCCCCGAGUUCGUCGUGCUUGGCGCAUGCCUCCUCCUUCUCCGCCAUGAUGUUGUCUGACAUCUUGGCUGUCAUCCUUUCUCGCUUUUCCUUGUCGGUCUCCCAUUUCCUCCCCCUUGCUUCGAUAUUUGGAUCAACAUCAUCGUCAUUGGUUUUGGUGUUGGUGGUCUUGGUUCACGCUGUGCAAAACCGAACCGAAAACCAAAAACCGAACCGAAAAAACCAAACCGAACCAAAAUUCCGGUUUUUUCAGGUUUUGGUUAUGGUUUCAGUUUGCAAAAUAAGAAACCAUAUUGCAUUUGGUUUUUUCGGUUUAAAACCGAAAAAAUUCGGUUAAACCGAACAAAACCGAAAGGUCCAAUAGAUUUCACAGAAUCAGUCAAUCACAGGCAGCUCACAGCACAGGCCCAUCGGCCAUCGCUCGCGGGUCGCGGCCCAGCGCGGCAACGCCCCAGGCGGCCAGGCCCCAGCCUAACCUCACGCACGCUUGCUUCAACCCUAGCAUUAGCAAUUCCCCACACGCACACGCAGAGCAGUAGAGAGCGGGAUGGCGGCGGCGCCCUAGCUAGGUCACACUCCGGCCGUCCGGCGCAUCCAUCAGCUCCCCUCCGUCCUCCGUCCUCCGUCGCGCACACCGGCAUCGCCGUCCUCCGCCCUCCGUCGUCCGUCGCACGCAUCGGCCUCGCCGUCCUCCGCCCUCCGUCGUACAUCGCACGCACCGGCAUCGCUGACUUCUGCCCUCCGUCCUCCGCGUCGCUGACCUCCGCCCUCCGUCGCGCGCACCGGCACACGCCUCCACGGAGCAGGACACGAGCCGCCGGAUGGUAAGGCACUUUCUUUUUUCAUCUUGAUUCGCUCUGGACUCUGGUAGAAGAGUUGUUCAGUAGCGAACACACACAUAGAUGUUCCUAUUUAGUUACUGAACAUGGAUGGAUGCAUGGUUUCACUAGUUUGUUACUGAACAUGGGUGUUUCCUAUAAUCCUAUUUAGUUUUCCAGCAACUUUUUUAGUAUUGGUUCUGCUGAUGGUCACUGAUACUGAAUGAAAACUACCUGACUUAUUUUUUUCAGGUGUCCGAGAGUGUUAGAGUUAACCUUGGCGCUGGUUCUGCUGCUGAUCAACCUCUCUCAAUAGAUCCUGAUGUUACCCCUUGCAGUGUGGGGGGGAAAAGUCGGAAGAGGUCAAAGGCAUGGAUGCACUUCACAGUUCAGAAAGAUGAUCCUGAUCAUGCUAAUUGCAACUACUGUGAUGCUGUACUGGGUUGCAAAUCCGCAUCGGCAGGUACUGCUUCUUUAGUCAACCAUUUGAAGAUUUGCAAAAAGAAUCCUGCCCAUAUAUGUAGCACUCAGUCCGAGCUUACCUACCAAGUUAGCGAAGAUGGUAAUUUGGUGGUUCCUUGGCAAUACAUUGAGAAAGAAGUUAGAGAAGCAUUUGCUCGCAUGAUAGUGAUAGAUGAGCUUCCAUUCAUAUUUGCAGAGAAAGAAGGUUUUAGGUUGUUUGUGGCUAAAGCUUGCCCAAGGUUCACUAUACCAUCUAGGACAACUAUGUAU
rnacentral:lncRNA from 1 species